GUUUAAUUGAGCACUUAAAAUACAUAUAGUGUAAUAUAAUACAAACUUAAGGAGGCCUCUAAAAAAUCGUAAAAUUCCCAUUUCAAAUAACAAAACAAGGAAGAUAGUCAACAUGGUCAACUCUUCACUCUGAUACCGGAUGGAAGAUAAGUUUCCUUAACGUAAACACGUAAAAAUUAAGAUGUGUUGAUUUUAUCAUCCUUUGAAAUAUUUUAUAGAAGCGCAGAUCAAUCUAAUAUGAUACUAGUUUUGAUACUUCACACAACUGUUGUGUUGACAGUUACAGCACAAAAGAACCUUGCAAGAUAUGGCGAAUAUGGCAAAGCUACACAAAUUUCCCUGUAUCAAGAGGAAGGUAAACCUGAAAAUGCUGUUCAACUGCCAAUAUCAAAUAGUUUUACUUUGCAAAAUUGUUCACACACAGACCCGACUACGGAACCUGCUUGGUGGAUGUUUGAAUUUUCUUUUGGUACCGCCUACAUCACAGAUAUAACAAUAUACUACAGAGAAAA